rnacentral:rRNA from 1 species
GACGAACGCUUGCGGCGUGCCUGAGAAAUGCAAGUCGAGCGGGGUGUAGCAAGUACACCUAGCGGCGAACGGUCGAGUAACACGUAAGCAACCUGCCCUGCAGUGGGGGAUAACAGCGGGAAACUGCUGCUAAUACCGCAUAGGCAUAUUUCUGGGCAUCCAGGGAUGUGUAAAGGCUAGACUGCUGCAGGGAGGGGCUUGCGGCCUAUUAGCUAGUCGGUGGGGUAACGGCCUACCGAGGCGACGAUGGGUAGCUGGUCUGAGAGGAUGGUCAGCCGGAUCGGGACUGAGACACGGCCCGGACUCCUACGGGGGGCAGCAAUCAGGAAUAUUGCGCAAUGGGGGAAACCCUGACGCAGCGACGCCGCGUGCGGGAUGAAGGCCUUCGGGUCGUAACCGCUGUUGUAUGGGAAGAGCGGAAGACGGUACCAUACGAGGAAGCCCGGCCAAACUACCGUG